GAUGAACGCUAGCGGCAGGCCUACCACAUGCAAGUCGAGGGGUAACUAGAGUGAUAGCAAUAUUACUUUGGCUAGACCGGCGCACGGGUGCGUAACACGUAUGCAACCUACCUUAUACUGGGGAAUAACUUCGAGAAAUCGGCGCUAAUACCCCAUAACAUUGCGAAGAGGCAUCUCUUUGCAAUUAAAGCUCCGGCGGUAUAAGAUGGGCAUGCGUCCAAUUAGCUAGUUGGUAAGGUAACGGCUCACCAAGGCUACGAUUGGUAGGGGUUCUGAGAGGAUGAUCCCCCACACUGGUACUGAGACACGGACCAGACUCCUACGGGAGGCAGCAGUGAGGAAUAUUGCGCAAUGGACGAAAGUCUGACGCAGCCAUGCCGCGUGCAGGAUGACGGCCCUAUGGGUUGUAAACUGCUUUUGUACGGGAAUAAACCCUUCUACGUGUAGGAGGCUGAAGGUACCGUAAGAAUAAGCACCGGCUAACUCCGUGCCAGCAGCCGCGGUAAGAC
rnacentral:rRNA from 1 species